UGCUUAACACAUGCAAGUCGAACGGAAAGGCCCUGCUUUUGUGGGGUGCUCGAGUGGCGAACGGGUGAGUAACACGUGAGUAACCUGCCCUUGACUUUGGGAUAACUUCAGGAAACUGGGGCUAAUACCGGAUAGGAGCUCCUGCUGCAUGGUGGGGGUUGGAAAGUUUCGGCGGUUGGGGAUGGACUCGCGGCUUAUCAGCUUGUUGGUGGGGUAGUGGCUUACCAAGGCUUUGACGGGUAGCCGGCCUGAGAGGGUGACCGGCCACAUUGGGACUGAGAUACGGCCCAGACUCCUACGGGAGGCAGCAGUGGGGAAUAUUGCACAAUGGGCGGAAGCCUGAUGCAGCAACGCCGCGUGCGGGAUGACGGCCUUCGGGUUGUAAACCGCUUUCGCCUGUGACGAAGCGUGAGUGACGGUAAUGGGUAAAGAAGCACCGGCUAACUACGUGCCAGCAGCCGCGGUGAUACGUAGGGUGCGAGCGUUGUCCGGAUUUAUUGGGCGUAAAGGGCUCGUAGGUGGUUGAUCGCGUCGGAAGUGUAAUCUUGGGGCUUAACCCUGAGCGUGCUUUCGAUACGGGUUGACUUGAGGAAGGUAGGGGAGAAUGGAAUUCCUGGUGGAGCGGUGGAAUGCGCAGAUAUCAGGAGGAACACCAGUGGCGAAGGCGGUUCUCUGGGCCUUUCCUGACGCUGAGGAGCGAAAGCGUGGGGAGCGAACAGGCUUAGAUACCCUGGUAGUCCACGCUGUAAACGGUGGGUACUAGGUGUGGGGUCCAUUCCACGGGUUCCGUGCCGUAGCUAACGCUUUAAGUACCCCGCCUGGGGAGUACGGCCGCAAGGCUAAAACUCAAAGGAAUUGACGGGGCCCCGCACAAGCGGCGGAGCAUGCGGAUUAAUUCGAUGCAACGCGUAGAACCUUACCUGGGUUUGACAUGGAUCGGGAGUGCUCAGAGAUGGGUGUGCCUCUUUUGGGGUCGGUUCACAGGUGGUGCAUGGCUGUCGUCAGCUCGUGUCGUGAGAUGUUGGGUUAAGUCCCGCAACGAGCGCAACCCUUGUUCACUGUUGCCAGCACGUUAUGGUGGGGACUCAGUGGAGACCGCCGGGGUCAACUCGGAGGAAGGUGGGGAUGACGUCAAGUCAUCAUGCCCCUUAUGUCCAGGGCUUCACGCAUGCUACAAUGGCUGGUACAGAGAGUGGCGAGCCUGUGAGGGUGAGCGAAUCUCGGAAAGCCGGUCUCAGUUCGGAUUGGGGUCUGCAACUCGACCUCAUGAAGUCGGAGUCGCUAGUAAUCGCAGAUCAGCAACGCUGCGGUGAAUACGUUCCCGGGGCUUGUACACACCGCCCGUCAAGUCAUGAAAGUUGGUAACACCCGAAGCCGGUGGCCUAACCGUUGUGGGGGAGCCGUCGAAGGUGGGACUGGUGAUUAGGACUAAGUCAUAAC
rnacentral:rRNA from 1 species